GACAUAUGUACAAAUACAUACUACCCAUCCUGUCAUCAACAUAAGUAUGAAUAUGUCCUGCCGACCUGGCUAAAUUCGUAUCUAAAAAGAUGUUCAAAAACUACUUAUUUGUCUUUCCAGGUCUUGUCUCUGAUGCAAUUUAGUAUUUUAAGUGUGCCCUUGCCUUGCACUGUGGUCAUCUGGGUACCCCUGUCCAUCCAUUGCUUUAAGAACUGAACCCUAACUGCUUCAGAGAGCAUUCCCAAGAACUCUGGUGUUGCUUCACCUCUUUCCUUUCUUAAUGCAAGUGGAAGGGGUUUUGUCUGCAUAACCAUCUUGCAGUAUGAAUGGAUAUGGGAGGUUCCCAAGGUGUCCUUGGGUUCCAAGAUGGCAAGUUAACCAUAAGCAUCACAUCUAUGGGCUCGAAGGAAGAAUUGCUUUAAAGCAAUGGCUUAGCUCCCUGUUGUUAACCCCACCCAACAGCACCUACUGCCAUCAGGAGCUUCAGUGACUACAAGGAGAUUUAUGAAGUUCCUCCCUGGGGCCAUCGGGUAUUGCUUGCUGCCAGGUAAAUAAGGGCAGAAGACUGUGCUGGAGAAGGACAUAUAAUGGUGCUUCAGUGGUCAUAAAUGUGGAAUAUAAAUUCUACAAAAUUGCGACUGAAGACACCAAUGUGCUCAAUUAAAACUGGAUUUAUUUUACUUACUUCACCCCUAUCCAAAUUCAUUUACUCAGCACAUUUAUCCUUUCAUUCAGGAGCCAAUUUAAGCCUCUAAUUUUAAUUACAUCUGUGACAACAAUAAUCUUAUAGUAAAAUGCAUUCCCCUAUUAACUUCCACCAAGCGACGUUAACGUCAGAGUGUUGACGUUCACAGUGCUUUAUCCACUGUGAACUUUAGUACAUGGCUAAGUAUGCUCUUUAGUGCUUUAUUUUGUUUUGUGGCUGUUGCUGUUAUUGUGUGGCACUUGGAGUGUAUUAAAACUGUAUCCAAACUCUAUCGAGCUUCACCAAGCCAAGAUCGAUGCUACAUGUGAAAAACAGGGACAUGAGUGAUCUUAAAAGUGUGACCUGACCGAAACUAUUCUAGACUGCAAAGUUAAUGUUUUCUGCUAGUCUUCUUUGUAAUUUGGGAAUGUUCAGUCAUUUUGCUUGCAGGCUAGCCCAUCUGUCUGGGAAACUGUCUUUGUCUAGAUUUUAGUCUUCUUGACAGAAUCUAGUAACCUCCUAUGUGUGCACUCUCAGUGUGCUAUGUGAGGCUACCCAGAAGGCCUUUUUGCUCACUCUGAAUGGUGCAGCGUCCACAGUUCUGCCAGUCAGUGGAUGUUACCUGUACUUGAGCUGUCUGCAGGGGAAUGGAGACUCUCCUUUGGAAUGCUAAACCACUGAAUAUUCAAAUAAGCUUUGAAGUCCUUUAUAUUUUAUGUGAUUUUUUUUCUAGAAAUCAAAUCAGACAUAAGCCUGUAUUACACCCUGGAAUUUAAUUAGGACACUACAGUUUACUGACAUAUUUACAGUUGAGACACACUCAUGUGCCUGUCCCUACCCCAACACACACUUGCUAAAACACCCUUUUCGGUAAAGAGAAAAAUCCCCAUUGUUGGUACUUUCUUUGUGCAAAGAAAAGGGGCCAUUUUGCUAUGCGCCAUUUGUAAUCACAUCUUACUUAAAAUUUCAAUGCAAUAGACUCUUCAUGUGGAGAGAAAGUGCAUCCUGCAAACAUUGAAGGUAACAGAAAUGAGUCAUCUCACAACCGCAUCUGGAGCAGGAGUAUUAAGUAUCCUGUAGCUAAGGACGAAUUAGGCUUUAUCUUUCGGUGGCCCUUUCAUACUGCCAGAAUUUUAAAAAUCGUUAAGGACAUUCUAAAAGUACUAUCCCCACAAAAUGACAUCACCUCACCUUUCAGUUCCCCUCAGCAACUGUGAGACCUGGGCUUUCCAUCAGUCACUUCUUGCUGAAAUGAGGCUGGGGACUACCUGUCUAUUUCAUUCGCCCGUGUUCGUUUUUGCUUCAUUGUGGACAACUGAGAGUUGCUGUGGCCUUUCGUGUGUAGUGGAAAUAUCAGCAUGUUCCUGUCAUGUGUGGUUCAGAAUUGCUUAGGUUCAUGAGUGCUGAGCUCAUAGACACAUGAGCUGCAUGCCUCCCUGGCCUGUCAGGGAUGUGAGCAUGACCCGUGUCUUACUAGUGAAUCCAUACUCCUUGUCAAAGUGAAGUCUAGGGGUUGUCUACUAUGUCAAUAUGAUGACUUCCAUGUCAUUUUCAUCCCCCCUAGAAAGCAUGAUGAAUGGGAACCGUCCUGUAAUUCCUGUUAAUAUAUUGUUAAUGUCAGAUGUGACGUGAUGCCAGUGGACUGUCCCAAUGUACAACUACUUAAUGGUGUUCGUAGAACCGAAAUGUCGUAAAUGUUGCAUGAAAUAUGUUCUAAAAAUAGAUUUGUUUUCUAUUUUUCAACACCUCAGAAUUGAGGGUUCAUGGGCCAAUAAGUGCAAUAUUUAAUGACUUACUCAGUGUAUAUAAACUAGUGUGAGAGUGACUUAUGAGGAAUGCGUGAGAUGCUUUGAUAGCCGUGUGCUUAUUCAAAUGAUUUCUUGUAGCAGUGUUUGUCUAGUAGUGCAAUUUAUACAGUCAACAUUUUACUGGCAUCAUGGGAAACUCCUCUGUGCCUACUUAAAAGUACCUUUUUCUCCCAUUUAUAAGUCAAAUAUUUAAUAUCUGAAAACACAUGUCUGAUUUGUGAUUUUAGAAUUGUGGGUUUUGUUUCUGAGAAAGAAUGACUGUGAGUUUGUUUUAUUAAAGUAUUCACCUCUAUAGUUCAGAAUUUUCCCUAAUAAUCCUACAAGAGUGUAUUAAGCAGCUACUUUAGAUACCUAAGAAUAAUAUGCAUAUCCAGAAGUCACCUUUUCUCCUCAGAAAGGUUGAUCACAUGUUCUGUUUGGAAACUCUCCACUCUUGUAUUGUAUGUAUAUCUUAUCGAUACUUAAUUUUGUUCUUUGUUUGCAAGCUCAGCAAAGUCAGCCUUGGGAUCUAGUAGCAUUAUCUGUGUCUUUUUAGUUUGUAGAUAACGUUUAUAUCCACUUUCAACUCUCAGUUGUCCACUCUGCUGUUAGAAAAGAGAGAAAAGCCAGUAAAGAUACUCGAUCCAUUUUGAAAUGCUAAUACAGACACACAAAUCUCUGAACCACACUUCCUGUCCUGAAACUUCACAAAGCUGUACCCAGGCUAGUCAUUGGGCUCUCAAAAGUUCAACGUAUUUCUGGAUAUGAAAGUUAAGCUGAAUCACCAACUCAAUCUCUUAUUUGCUGUGUCAAUUAUUAAGGUAAUGCCUCAUUUUCAUAUUGUCCUCCUCAUCCUUUUCAUGUACUUAGCAAGCCAUUAUCCCUUUAGGAGGUAGGUGUUACUGAAAAAUGGAAUGCAGUGGGUUCUAGGUGCCAUUCUAUCCAUACACAGUAAAUAUCUGUUUUCUCUACAGCACUGGACAAGAAGCUGACAUAUGAAAAAGGCCAGUCAUAUUAAGUGACAUUGGGUUGUGUGGGCAAUAUGUGACCCAAAUGUAACCAUGCCAGUCUGGAAAUUGUACACAAGUCUCGAAAUCCACUGAAGAAGUAGGGUGAAAAUGGUAGCUGAAAGACAGAGGUAGCAAAGACUUAGUGCCAAAUUAAAAGGGAAAUAAAAGCGGAAACAGGUAGCUGACCACAGAAUAAUAAUUUAAGAGUAUAGUUAACCCCAGCUCCGAAAAAAAAAAAAAAAAAAAGAACCAAGAGUAUAGUUAAAUGUUCCAUUUGUUAUUAGGCAGUUGCUGAUCACCAUGUGCUCUGCUCUGUGCCGAACACAGAAGGACUAUGGCAAAAGGAGAUGGUAUGAUCUAAGUGAUAGAUUAUGGCAGACACCGGAGCAAAAAGAAUGAGACUUAUAAGAACUAGAAGAGUCAAGGUUGGCUCCUAUGUAGGGGUCAGACAUGAUUCCGGGAAGAAUUGAGUAGUGAGAAGACUGAGCCAAACACACAAAUACAAAAGGCCCCAGGGUGUUCUCUGUGAAUGGAAGGAAGAGCAAGAGAAUUAGCAACCAUGGAGACUGAAACCCACAAAUUGCCUAACUUGGCUCUCUGCAUUCCGAUCUACACGGAGAAGGCAAGUGUAUUCCCCUGACCCGAGCAGCCUCAGCUCAGCCACAAAACACGAAUUGCUUUCAAGCAGCUAGUUUAGACAUUUGCCAAUGACCCAAACCCAAGACAUUGCCUAAUCCAACAUCACCAGGCAAACCUCUACUCAGAUUUUUCUGUAGCUCUGGGUUUUGUUUAAGGGCAUCGGACAAUGCGCAGAGAAAGAUUCUACAUUGUGCCAGGGUUCUUUGGGCUCCUUCUUGGUGAUGGCACUGUGGAACUCCUCUUGAGACAAUAUUUAAUGCUUUCUUAUUGUGACUGUGAUGUUUAGUUGAAAACUACUGCUGCAUAGCAAGUACUGUGACUCUUCCUGUGUCCACAGAAGCUCUUGUCUGAGUUUAAAGCUAUAAAGCGUAUUCACAUUGUGAAAUUAUUAUUAUUAUUAUUAUUAUUACUGAAAUUAAUUGUGUACAAAUGGUAUGUGCUCUGUUAGGUAAUUAGUUUGUGUGUGAAUUAUGUAUGAAAAGUGGUUUUGUUCUCUGAGUUUAUCUUGUUUUAUUUUUUGAAGAUUACAAUAAAUAUCUAAGAGACUAUAUUCCUG
rnacentral:lncRNA from 1 species